rnacentral:rRNA from 1 species
UGCGUAGGCGGUUAGAUAAGUCAGAGGUGAAAGCCCACAGCUCAACUGUGGAAUUGCCUUUGAUACUGUUUAACUUGAAUCAAGUUGAGGUUGGCGGAAUGUGACAUGUAGCGGUGAAAUGCAUAGAUAUGUCAUAGAACACCAAUUGCGAAGGCAGCUAACUAGACUUGUAUUGACGCUGAGGCACGAAAGCGUGGGGAGCGAACAGGAUUAGAUACCCUGGUAGUCC